ACCUUCAGGAGUUAGUGACUCUCAGGGUCUCAUUACCCACUGAUGGUAUUCAUGCACAGGCCUGCAAUCUGUUCCUUCCCUUCAACUGAAAUGUGGCAGUAAGACAGGGCCACUGAUUUCAAAGGACACUGACCUACAACCUCAGUCUGCUGAGCACACAUCCCUACUACAGCACUAGUCCUGGAAAACAAGUCCUUGGUGAACAAUUCAAACCAAAUAUGAAGAUCAUCUCUGCAAUUGGUCUAUUACACAUUUAGGAAAAGAACAUCUUUGUCAAACUCAAGAACAGUUAUUUUUAAGAAUGUAAAUAUGUACUGAUUCUUGUAUGGCUUAUGGUAAUUUUACAUACUGCUGGAAAUUAUUAUAUACAUAAUAAAAGGUAUUCCUGAAUCACUGACCGUGG
rnacentral:lncRNA from 1 species